GACGAACGCUGGCGGCGUGCUUAACACAUGCAAGUCGAACGGAAAGGCCCUGCUUUUGUGGGGUGCUCGAGUGGCGAACGGGUGAGUAACACGUGAGUAACCUGCCCUUGACUUUGGGAUAACUUCAGGAAACUGGGGCUAAUACCGGAUAGGAGCUCCUGCUGCAUGGUGGGGGGUGGAAAGUUUCGGCGGUUGGGGAUGGACUCGCGGCUUAUCAGCUUGUUGGUGGGGUAGUGGCUUACCAAGGCUUUGACGGGUAGCCGGCCUGAGAGGGUGACCGGCCACAUUGGGACUGAGAUACGGCCCAGACUCCUACGGGAGGCAGCAGUGGGGAAUAUUGCACAAUGGGCGGAAGCCUGAUGCAGCAACGCCGCGUGCGGGAUGACGGCCUUCGGGUUGUAAACCGCCUUCGCCUGUGACGAAGCGUGAGUGACGGUAAUGGGUAAAGAAGCACCGGCUAACUACGUG
rnacentral:rRNA from 1 species